rnacentral:rRNA from 1 species
AUGUGAUCGUCUCUCGCAUAUCAAUAAGCGGAGGAAAAGAAACUAACAAGGAUUCCCCUAGUAACGGCGAGUGAAGCGGGAAGAGCUCAAAUUUGAAAUCUUAAAGGGUUUCCCUUUACGAAUUGUAGUUUAAAGAAGUGUUUUCUGUUGAGGUUUUGGUAAAAGUUCUUUGGAAUAGGACAUCAUAGAGGGUGAGAAUCCCGUAUUUGACCUUUACUUUCAACUUUGUGAUACACUUUCAAAGAGUCGGAUUGUUUGGGAAUGCAGUCCAAAAUGGGUGGUAAAUUUCAUCUAAAGCUAAAUAUUGGCGAGAGACCGAUAGCGAACAAGUACCGUGAGGGAAAGAUGAAAAGAACUUUGAAAAGAGAGUUAAACAGUACGUGAAAUUGUCAAAAGGGAAGCGUUUGACACCAGUGUUGUUUUUCUGAAAAUCAAUUAAAGAACUGUUUAUGCUAAGUUGUUUAGACUUUAUCAGCUAACUGUUUAGUUUUGAGCUUUUCUUUAAUGCACUUUUCAGUUAACAAGUCAACAUCAAUUUCUUUUGCUGUAAAAAAGCUUGAGGAAGGUGGCUUGAGAUUCGUCUUAAGUGUUUAUAGCCUCUUGCCUAUGCAGUCGGAGAGAUUGAGGUCUGCAGCGUAGAUCCUUCGGGGCUAAAUGCAUUUGUGCUAAGUUAUAGCAUUUUAUAGACAACUUGUUGACUAUGAUUUGUCUUGUAGCUUACUCGCUUAUGUUAUUUUACCUACGCUUAGGAUGUUGAGUAGCGACAUACGCAC